UGAGGAUAUUGCACAAUGGGGGAAACCCUGAUGCAGCAACGCCGCGUGUAGGAUGACGGACUUCGGUGUGUAAACUCCUUUUAUGAGUCAAGAAAAUGACGGUAGCUCAUGAAUAAGCAGCGGAUAACUCCGGGCCAGCAGCCGCGGUAAUACUGAGGGUGCAAGCGUUACUCGGAAUCACUGGGGGUAAAGGACGCGUAAGCUGCUGGGUAAGUCAGAUGUGAAAUCCUACGGCUUAACUGUAUAACUGCAUUUGAAACUACUAACCUAAAGUAUGGGAGGGGGAGAUGGAAUUAGUGGUGUAGGGGUAAGAUCCAUAUAUAUGAGUAGGAAUACCUAGAGCGAAUGCGAUCUCCUGGAACAUUACUGACGCUAAGGCGUGAAAGCGUGAGGAGCACACAGGAUUAGAUACCCUGGUAGUCCACGCCCUAAACGAUGAAGACUAGUCGUCGCUCUGCUUGUCAGGACGAUGAUGCACUUAACAUAUUAAGUGUUCCGCCUGGGGAGUACGGUCGCAAGAUUA
rnacentral:rRNA from 1 species